UACGUAUGGUGCAAGCGUUAUCCGGAUUUACUGGGUGUAAAGCGAGCGCAGGUGGUUUAUUAAGUCUGGUGUAAAAGGCAGUGGCUCAACCAUUGUAUGCAUUGGAAACUGGUAGACUUGAGUGCAGGAGAGGAGAGUGGAAUUCCAUGUGUAGCGGUGAAAUGCGUAGAUAUAUGGAGGAACACCGGUGGCGAAAGCGGCUCUCUGGCCUGUAACUGACACUGAGGCUCGAAAGCGUGGGGAGCAAACAGG
rnacentral:rRNA from 1 species